CCGCCCGAGCCGUGCCGGCGCCCCGCCCAUCCCGAGGGCGCUGGGGUUUCCCUCGGCCCCCUUCUUCCCAGGGAAGGGCUGUGAUCUGGCCACUGGGGCGAUGGUUCCCCGGGCUGCCUGUCCCGGUCAGACACACCGCUGGCUGCCUCAAACGGAGCCCGGAAACAGAACUCUCCCAGCCCCGGGGAAUUCUAGGAAAUAGUGAUUUUUCUGAUAAAGGUAUAGGCAACCAACAGCCUCCCCUACUUCCAGCCUCAAGACUAAUACUACACUGCGCUGCCGGGAGGGAUCUUUAGAAAAAACACAAACGCAACCGUUCCUGCCCCUGUGUAGUGUUCAACUACACGAACUCUUCCCUAGCUCAGAAUGUGCUGGGGCCAUUCCCAUCCCAGCCUUUGUCCCUGCUGUUCAGCUGGGACUGCCUUCCUCUCUUCAUUUGGCUAACUCCCACUGGCCCUUUAAAAUCCAGCAUCCUGGGAGCCUCGUGGCUCAGUCGGUUGAGCGGGUUGAGCAUCUGCCUUCCGCUGGGGUCCUGAUCCCAGAGUGCUCAGCGGGGAGUCUAUUGCUAUCUCUGCCCGCCGCUCCCCUGCUUA